rnacentral:rRNA from 1 species
AGGCUUAACACAUGCAAGUCGAGGGGCAGCAUGGUCUUAGCUUGCUAAGGCUGAUGGCGACCGGCGCACGGGUGAGUAACACGUAUCCAACCUGCCGUCUACUCUUGGCCAGCCUUCUGAAAGGAAGAUUAAUCCAGGAUGGGAUCAUGAGUUCACAUGUCCGCAUGAUUAAAGGUAUUUUCCGGUAGACGAUGGGGAUGCGUUCCAUUAGAUAGUAGGCGGGGUAACGGCCCACCUAGUCAACGAUGGAUAGGGGUUCUGAGAGGAAGGUCCCCCACAUUGGAACUGAGACACGGUCCAAACUCCUACGGGAGGCAGCAGUGAGGAAUAUUGGUCAAUGGGCGAUGGCCUGAACCAGCCAAGUAGCGUGAAGGAUGACUGCCCUAUGGGUUGUAAACUUCUUUUAUAAAGGAAUAAAGUCGGGUAUGCAUACCCGUUUGCAUGUACUUUAUGAAUAAGGAUCGGCUAACUCCGUGCCAGCAGCCGCGGUAAUACGGAGGAUCCGAGCGUUAUCCGGAUUUAUUGGGUUUAAAGGGAGCGUAGAUGGAUGUUUAAGUCAGUUGUGAAAGUUUGCGGCUCAACCGUAAAAUUGCAGUUGAUACUGGAUGUCUUGAGUGCAGUUGAGGCAGGCGGAAUUCGUGGUGUAGCGGUGAAAUGCUUAGAUAUCACGAAGAACUCCG